GGAGAGGUGGCAGAGUGGUCGAAUGUACCUGACUCGAAAUCAGGCGUACCGCAAGGUACCGAGGGUUCGAAUCCCUCCCUCUCCU
rnacentral:tRNA from 1 species